UGGAAUCACCAGAUAGCUGGGGUCAAGGUGCUCUGCUGACUGCCUAUGGGCUGUGGGAUCCAACUGAGUCAGUAGGCCAGACAGCAAGCACCUUUAUCCCUUGAGCAAUUUCACUGACCCU
ensembl:miRNA Mir6324 microRNA 6324